rnacentral:rRNA from 1 species
GAACGCUGGCGGCGUGCUUAACACAUGCAAGUCGAGCGGUAAGGCCCUUCGGGUACGACGAGCGGCGAACGGGUGAGUAACACGUGGGUGACCUGCCCUCAGCUCUGGGAUAAGCCUGGGAAACCGGGUCUAAUACCGGAUAUGACUCCAUGACGCAUGUUGUGGGGUGGAAAGCCUUGUGCGGCUGAGGAUGGGCCCGCGGCCUAUCAGCUUGUUGGUGGGGGUGAGGCCUACCGAGGCGACGACGGGUAGCCGGCCUGAGAGGGCGACCGGCCACACUGGGACUGAGACACGGCCCAGACUCCUACGGGAGGCAGCAGUGGGGAAUCUUGCGCAAUGGGCGAAAGCCUGACGCAGCGACGCCGCGUGAGGGAUGACGGCCCUGGUUGUAAC